ACAGGGAUUGCCCUAGUAACGGCGAGUGAAGCGGCAACAGCUCAAAUUUGAAAUCUGGCGUCUUUGGCGUCCGAGUUGUAAUUUGCAGAGGGCGCUUUGGCAUUGGCAGCGGUCCAAGUUCCUUGGAACAGGACGUCACAGAGGGUGAGAAUCCCGUACGUGGUCGCUAGCCUUUACCGUGUAAAGCCCCUUCGACGAGUCGAGUUGUUUGGGAAUGCAGCUCUAAAUGGGAGGUAAAUUUCUUCUAAAGCUAAAUACUGGCCAGAGACCGAUAGCGCACAAGUAGAGUGAUCGAAAGAUGAAAAGCACUUUGGAAAGAGAGUUAAAAAGCACGUGAAAUUGUUGAAAGGGAAGCGCUUGCAGCCAGACUUGCCUGUAGUUGCUCAUCCGGGUUUUUACCCGGUGCACUCUUCUACGGGCAGGCCAGCAUCAGUUUGGGCGGUUGGAUAAAGGUCUCUGUCAUGUACCUCCUCUCGGGGAGAACUUAUAGGGGAGACGACAUGCAACCAGCCCGGACUGAGGUCCGCGCAUCUGCUAGGAUGCUGGCGUAAUGGCUGUAAGCGGCCCGUCUUGAAACACGGACCAAGGAGUCUAACAUCUAUGCGAGUGUUUGGGUGUCAAGCCCGAGCGCGUAAUGAAAGUGAACGGAGGUGGGAACCUUUCGGGGUGCACCAUCGACCGAUCCUGAUGUCUUCGGAUGGAUUUGAGUAAGAGCAUAGCUGUUGGGACCCGAAAGAUGGUGAACUAUGCUUGAAUAGGGUGAAGCCAGAGGAAACUCUGGUGGAGGCUCGCAGCGGUUCUGACGUGCAAAUCGAUCGUCAAAUUUGGGCAUAGGGGCGGAAGACUAAUCGAACUAUCUAGUAGCUGGUUCCUGCCGAAGUUUCCCUCAGGAUAGCAGUAACGUUUUCAGUUUUAUGAGGUAAAGCGAAUGAUUAGAGGACUGGGGGAUGAAACAUCCUU
rnacentral:rRNA from 1 species